AUUGAACGCUGGCGGCAUGCCUUACACAUGCAAGUCGAACGGCAGCGGACCUUCGGUGCCGGCGAGUGGCGAACGGGUGAGUAAUAUAUCGGAACGUACCUUUCAGUGGGGAGUAACGUAGCGAAAGUUACGCUAAUACCGCAUACUCUGUGAGCAGGAAAGCAGGGGAGUCGCAAGACCUUGCGCUGAUUGAGCGGCCGAUAUCAGAUUAGCUAGUUGGUGAGGUAAAGGACUCACCAAGGCGACGAUCUGUAGCGGGUCGUGAGAGGAUGAUCCGCCACACUGGAACUGAGACACGGUCCAGACUCCUACGGGAGGCAGCAGUGGGGGAAGUUUUGGUACGAAUAGGGCGGCGAAGACCUCGAUCCACG
rnacentral:rRNA from 1 species